rnacentral:rRNA from 1 species
UACGUAGGGUGCAAGCGUUUGUCCGGAAUUAUUGGGCGUAAAGAGCUCGUAGGCGGUCUGUUGCGUCGGCUGUGAAAACCCGAGGCUCAACCUCGGGCCUGCAGCCGAUACGGGCAGACUAGAGUUCGGCAGGGGAGACUGGAAUUCCUGGUGUAGCGGUGAAAUGCGCAGAUAUCAGGAGGAACACCGGUGGCGAAGGCGGGUCUCUGGGCCGAUACUGACGGCUGAGGAGCGAAAGCCAGGGGAGCGAACGGG